UUUGGUUCAGGUCUAGUCA
rnacentral:siRNA from 1 species